UGUCACCCCCCCCAAAGUGCCACCCGUGGGGGUCUGUCACCCCCCCAAAAUGCCACCUGUGGGGUCACCCACCCCAAAAGUGACACCCGUGGGGUCUGUCACCCCCC